CCCGGCACGUGAAGCCCUGGCCUAUGGCGUGGCCUUCCUAGUUCUGGGUUUAGUGAAGACCUCAAACAUUAAUGUUGGAAGGAUCAUUCAGAACCAUCAGCGUUUCUUAAGGCGACUCUGUGGCCUUUGAAGCAAGACUUUUACCGGUUUGCAGGACUGCCUCAGGAUCCUGGAGGAUGCCAGCUCCUAAGUAAGCCCAGUCCUGUUUCCUGCCGCCUGCCCUGCACUCUCUGGAUCAUGGGGACACCUGCACGCCUACAGCUCACACCUGCACAGUCCGGAGCUCAGGAAAAGGCUUCUCUUGCUAAAGCAUCUCAGAGGAGGAAGGUAGCCAGGACUCAACAGCAGUGCUUUAAGACACACCUCCAGGUGGCAGGACCUCCUGUGCACCAAGCCCCAGGACAGCCUCUGCGUGACCUGCCUCAGUCGGCACUCACGUUAGCCUGUCAGGUUUAGCCCAUAGCCAUUUUGCUGCCGAAGAUAUUUUCCUAAGAGGACAGUUGGAGCAUAUUACCAUUCUUCAAACUCUUCAUUUUCCCCCUUGCUUCCUGGAUGGACUCUCAUCUCCCCUGCAGGGUGUGAAGGCCUCUACCAUCUACUGUUCUGUCUCCUGCCUGGCCUCUCCUCAUUUAUACACCGCUUCACAGUUCUGCCAUCCUCAGCUGUACCCUCAUCAAAUCAGUCUGAUGAAUUCCUACCUCGUCCCCCAAUUCUCCACAGAAGUGACAGGUACUGUCACUCCUUUCUCUGUGCGCUCAAUUUUCUCCUCCCACAAGGCUCACUUUUGCUAAAUUUGCCCAUCAGUGACACCUCCCAUUGGGCUUCCGUGGUGGUGCAGUGGUGAAGAAUCCACCUGCCAAUGCAGGAGAGUAAUACCUUGCCAUUUGCA